UUUUGGAUGAUGAAAAGAAUCAUUCGGAUUCCCAAUGAUAUUUUUAUAUGAUAUCAACCAGCUAUUUCUGACCAAA